AUGGCAGUCAACAUACAAUAUGGAGUGUCUUACUUGACACAAGUGACUGUUUCAAACCCAAAUAGAGAAGCGGAGAGCCAAACCAUUGAGAUGGCUAGAGCUGAGGCUUCUAGAGCGGGUACUUCCACUGUUCCUUCUAGUGUCCAUCUUAGUUCUAGUGAUCAUUAUGAUGAUGACUCUGAUGGUCAGACAUUAGAUCUAGAGGGAAUGAGCGAUGGAUGUUGA